rnacentral:rRNA from 1 species
UUAGAUUGCUUAAGUUCAGCGGGUAUUCCGCC